GGAAAUUUCCGGACGGACUAUGACAGCAGCGUAAGCUGAGCGGUAGGCGUUUUUGUUAAGUCUGAUGUGAAAGCCCACGGCUCAACCGUGGGGGGUCAUUGGAACUGGAAACUUGAGUGCAGAAGAGGAAAGUGGAAUUCAUGUGUAGCGGUGAAUGCGCAGAGUUAUGGAGGACACCAGUGGCGAGGCACUUUUCUGGCCGUAACUGACGUGAGGGGCAAACCGGGGGGUCAAACAGAUUAAAAACCCGGGUGGCCCCCCCCUAAACAUGAGGCUAGGGUUAGGGGGUUCCCCCCCUUAGGGUGGGCAACGAUUAAGCACCCCCCGGGGGGUCCGCCCCCAGGUUAAAACCAAAGAAUUGAAGGGACCCCCCAACCGGGGGACAUUGGUUUAAUUCCAACCCCCGGGAA
rnacentral:rRNA from 1 species